UACGUAGGUGGCAAGCGUUGUCCGGAAUUACUGGGUGUAAAGGGCGUGUAGGCGGGGAAGCAAGUCAGAUGUGAAAUCCCGGGGCUCAACUCCGGAGUUGCAUCUGAAACUGUUUUUCUUGAGUGCUGGAGAGGAAAGCGGAAUUCCCAGUGUAGCGGUGAAAUGCGUAGAUAUUGGGAGGAACACCGGUGGCGUAGGCGGCUUGCUGGACAGUAAAUGACGCUGAGGCGCGAAAGCCAGGGAAGCAAACGGGAUUAGAUACCCCUGUAGUCCCUGA
rnacentral:rRNA from 1 species